UGAAAGUCAGGUCGGAUUAAGCCAUAGUACGGGAAAAACUAUGCUACCUGUGAGCCCCGUCCAAGGACGUAAAAAGAAGUCAGGCCAUCAUAAAUGCCACAGCUUGAGCAAACUGUGCAGCCUGUAGCUCCACCUG
rnacentral:lncRNA from 1 species